UAGCUUAUGCUUGUCUCAAAGAUUAAGCCAUGCAUGUCUAAGUAUAAACAUCUUUAUACAGUGAAACUGCGAACGGCUCAUUAUAUCAGUUAUUAUUUAUUUGAUGGUACCUUACUACAUGGCAUAACUGUAGUAAUUCUAGAGCUAAUACAUGCACAAAAUCCCGACUUCUGGAAGGGAUGUAUUUAUUAGAUACAAAACCAAUCGGGGCAACCCGUCUUUUGGUGACUCAUAGUAACUGUUCGGAGCGCAUGCCCUCGUGGUGGCGCUAGUUCAUUCAAGUUUCUGCCCUAUCAGCUGUCGAUGGUAGUGUAUUGGACUACCAUGGCUAUCACGGGUAACGGAGAAUUAGGGUUCGAUUCCGGAGAGGGAGCCUGAGAAACGGCUACCACAUCCAAGGAAGGCAGCAGGCGCGCAAAUUACCCAAUCCUGACACAGGGAGGGUAGUGACAAGAAAUACCAAUACCGGGCCUUCGGUCUGGUAAUUGGAAUGAGUACAAUUUAAAUCCCUUAACAAGUAUCAAUU
rnacentral:rRNA from 1 species